AUAUGUGUUCUAAACAUUUCUAAUGCCUCAGGGGAACAUUUCUUAGGUAUGAAUUUCUCUUAAAAGGGUUCUACUCUAUCUAUUUGAGCUCACAUGAACUCCUUCAAUUGUUUUGCCUCUCAUAACAGAUGAUCUCCAGAAGAAGAGAUAAAGGACACUUCAGACGACGAGAAUUGAUAAUAUUUGCUCAGGGCUAUAGUUUCAUUUCCUGGAUGUGGCCAGAAUGAUUUCUAUUUUGUCAUUAAAGAGAUUCUGUGAACUACCCAGUUUCCUUUCACUGAAUGUCUUUUCUGACUGAAUAAAUCAGGAAAUCUUGCUGACUUAAAAUGAUUUAUCUUGGAAGCUGAACUCACAAUGGUGUUAUUCAAGAGAUAAUUCUGCAUGGAACACUCAGAAAAAAAGAAUUCAUAACUAAUGUACCCACAUGAACCACUUCUCAUAUGGAAAUUCUGACUAUCCCUCAAAUUCCCCCAAUCCUUUUUCUAAUGCUAGCUUAUUAAAGAUAUAUAUACAAAAACAUAGGUAAUGAGGGUUAAUUCUGAGACAAAGUUGGCUCAGUGUUUCAGAAUAUUGUGAA